GCGGGGGCUGCGGCCCAGCCCGGCGGGUCCCCAGGGGCUGCGCGGCGCUCGCCUCGCGCUAGAGGGCGAGAGAGGCUGGGGACCCCGUGGAGUAGCCUGUCUCAGGUCCCCGUGGCCCACUGGGAGGGGCGCUCCCGGGAUGAAGCCAGAGUAAAUACAGGACAUCAGGACAUUGUUUUCUGGCGGUGAUGGUGAACAAGAUGGACAUAAGGCCUUCCUCAGUGGCAAGGAUCUCAAGAUCCCUUCUUGAUCUCAGAUUCUGUAAAUGGGAUACCUUUCUCCAUGUACUGAAGCAGCUCAAAGCCCUCGCCAGAUCUCAGCACCAUGCUCUUGGACUUACCAGCCUCCAGAACUGUGAGCCAAAUAAACUUAUUUUCUUUAUAAAUUACCCAUCCUCAGUAAUUCUGUUACAGAAACUAAAAAUAACAGAGGGACAUACUUAUUAAUACUAACUGUAGGACAAGGUAAGUCCCCACAUAUCACUGAACAUCAGCUAUAAAAUGACAAUAAUAAAGUUAUGGACCCUAUGACUCAUGGAGUUAUUAUGAGGAUGAAAUAUGAAAAUAAAUAAAACAUUUGGACCUGCGUGACACACAGUCAGCACAAAAAAAUUAUCAUUCUAAAAAUAAGUCAUCCAAAUAUAUUUUAUACUGGCCAGAUUAAUUUUUUCUGUAAAUCCCCACCUCUUUCUCGUAUGAUUUGUACACCCUCCCACUCCCCACAGCUUCCCCACAUUUCUCUUGGGGUCUUGCCCCCUGAUAAAGGGAUGGCAAGGGGCAGGGGUCCUUUUGGGGCCACAGUAGCAUUGAAGCUACAGUGGAAAUUAUGACAGGAAAUCAUGUUAUCAGGAAACAACUCCAGUAAUUGAAAAUAUUUUACAAAGAAAAGACUUAAGUGUGUAUAAUAUUAACC
rnacentral:lncRNA from 1 species